CUAGUUAAUGUUGGGAAACUCUAUGCUUGAUCACGAACAUCUCAAAAAGGUAGGUAUUUUUGUUUUUUCAAUAGUGAUUCAUUUGACAAUUGAUGCGGAACUCACUGUAAGUUUUUUAGAACCAAAUCAUAGCCUGCCAAAGAAAGAAAUGAAGCAAGAAACAAAGAUGACAGUGGCCAUGGGUGCAACGGCCUAGCCAUCCAGCAUGGACAGUAGUGGUGUUAAAGUUGAGCAGCCGGUUGUGCCCGACCGAGAGUCGUUGCCAGCUGACUCUGUUGACCAUCUGCUGCAAGAGACGCCGGAAGAGGAAGAAGCGGAGGGCAAGGGCAUCAACUUUCCUUGCGACGAUGACUUACUCGUUCUCGACGAGGCGUCAGCAGACCCACUGCCAGAGGUCGAGGACAAUGAGGGACCGGUUCGAACUUCUACACCGAAACAGGACAUUGAGGAGUCGUCUAGAGAAGAUGAUAAGUGUGGAAAAGAUGGUGAUGAUGCCAAUGCUUCUACAGUCUUCUGUAAUGACAAAGAUGAAGCAAAGAAAGCUGAUGUGAAGGAGGCAGAAUCUGAAGAAAAGCAGGAAAGCAUUGUGGAGAUUAAGGAUGAAGAGCCUGGGAAGAGCGAGGAACUGGAGAAGUGUGCAGAUGAAAUGCCGGAAGAAGUGCCGAAGGAUGAAGAAAUGGAAGAGCCCUCUGCCCAAGGAGCCGAUGGAUCGGCAGAGGGAGGGAAAUCCCUUGACAGCAGUGAUGAUGUGCAAGUCGUUGCUAUUGAGAAGCCAGAGUUUGGGAAACAAGAAGUCAUCAAGGGGAAUAAAAUGCCUGAUUCUGCCACUAAGGAGAACAAGACGCCAGUCUCUAACGGUGCGGGUAUUGCGGCGUCGGUCUCGUGCUUCAAGGAUGAGGAUCCUGACGACCCUGAUGCCAUUGAGGUCAAUGCAGACAACAUGGAUUCUAAGCCGCAGAAGCGAUCAGCGUCCAGUCAAGACAUCCUGGCUGAUCUCAAACGGGCCCUGAACAUGAUUGAUGCAGAAGGUGGAAAUUCAAAGCGAUUUAAGCUCGACAUGCAGGAUGAAGGCAAUGCGUUGGAGCAGGAAGACGGUGCUGAUCUUCCGGAAGCUCUGUCAACUGGAGCGUCGGCGUCUGCGCAGUCUGUGGGCUUGCCCGUCGGUUCCAGUCUGGUGGUGUUGAGUCGCAAACAGCUGGAGCAGUACGUGACGCGGCGAGUGCGCGAGUGUCUCAUGACGCAGGCCGCUACCCUGCUGCAGCCAAUGGAGAAGAAGUGCGACACUUUGCACCGAGCCCUGGAGCGGUGGCGGCGAAGGUCGUCCCAGCUGCAGAAACAGCUGAACGAGUUUGUGUGCGAGCAAGAGAAGUGUGCCAACGCCCGCCGCACUCGGAGGUCUGUUGGCGUCUGCGUACGGAUGCCUCCCUUGAAGCCACCGGGCCAGACUCCUGGGUCCCCUAACAUCAAGACGAUACCCACCACAGUUACUGCACCGACGUCUGCAGCCUCUCGUUCUCCGAAUGUGACUGUCACCCGUGGACCAGUCAUGACCGUCGCAACGGUGGCUUCGAGUGGCGGAUCACCUGCACAUCCAGCAAGCCCUGCGCAGCAAAUCAGAGUCACUGGCGCCAAUGCAUCAAUGCUGGCUGCGCAGCUGGGCUUGAAACCGAACCAGCACAUGAAGGUGCUGAGCGUUUCAACACCAAGUGGUGGCAGCGCAGCUGUGGUUACACGCAUGCCUCCUCAGUUGCAGAGUGCUCCUACCUUAUCGACCUCUGUGUCGUCUCCCGUGCCAGUGCCGAUGCAGCUGAUUGCCAACACUGCCAACAUUACUGCUUCUCAGUCGCCUGCUAUGAAAGUCUCAACAACUGUCUCUUCCUCUGGCACACCUGUACGAGCGGUUGUGGUGUCAUCCCCUAGCAGUAGCACACCGUCUGCACCAGGUGUGAAGAUCAUUGACCUCACUCAGGAAGAAGAAGCAGCAAAUGCUCAGGCUAAGGCCUUUUCAGCAGGUGGUGGCCUCUCUACGGGCACUGCAUUGCAGAAGGGCGCCGUCUCCUCGGCGUCCAUUCCUGUGCUGAGCGCAGCACCAACUUCAUUUGUGCAGGUGCAGUCUGCGUCGAGCCCUUCGACAACCCGUGUAAGCAUUGCAGGCACGUCAGUGGUGUUGAGCCACAUGCCCUCGGGCACGGUGACCCAGGCUGGGGCCAAUGCAGUGCGUCUCAGCUCGUCAUCACUAGUUGGACCGCCCACACGCGUGACAUACUUGGUGCCCAACUUGCCUCCCGGCAUGGUUGUUGCUCCACGCGAGGCUGGACCACGGCUUGCUACUGGCAGUGGUACCCAGCCCAUGCAGACCAUUUUGCUGCGCAUGGCAACACCAACGGGGGGUCUCACAACUGUGCCUGGAGGUGCCAUUACCAUGCCAACGGGUCUGUUGCCAGCGAAUGCAUCUGGUAGUCCUGGUGGGACACAGAGUGGAACUACCACCAUGAUGGUUGCAACGGCAGCAGGAUCUCAGGUGCGCAUGGUUCGCACUCCGCAACCAGUGACGCUCUCGAGAGGUGGUACUACCGUGACCCUGCCUCCUGGAACGACGCUGGUGCGCGCUCCAGUGGCACCCAACAUGCGACCAGGCAUUCCGCAGCAGCUGUCAGUGGUGCGACCGCCCGUUCCAACAUCCUCCACGGCAACCCCCAACCUUUCACUUCCUUCGCCCAAGCCACCGCUGCAGGUUCAAGUGCCUGGUGCACCUGUCAGGCUGCCAUCGCCAUCAUCAUCGCUGCAGGUUCAGGUUCCGGGCAGCAGUGCCACCGUGCAGCCGGCCAAGUCGGGUGCCUCUGCUUCUAACGUAAGAACAGGGGUGCCACAGCAUCCAGCCUCUUUACCACCUACACCACGGUACAUUGAUGACCCUAAAAAGAAACGACUACCACCCAAACCUUCUUUGAAGAUCACGAAGGCCGCCAGUGCCGACAACUCGACAAGCGUUCACAAAGCGCCUCCGGCCAACAAACGCGCGGCGGUCAAAAAGGAGAAAGCCGAGCCAAAGCCGCCGACCGCGGAGGACAUGGAGAAAGUUCUGGAACAAUGGCAGACGUUCCUCGACAAAAAAGAGGAGGACAAGGAGGGGGACAAGAAUCGGCGACGGCUGCCCUAUCACACGCAGCGGCCCCUACGUCACGCCUGUCUCUGCCGACUGGGCACCUGCCAGUACGAGAAGCUCACGGCAACUUUUAAGGAGCGAAUGCACGCGAACUUUGGUUGCCUCGAGCCGGAUCAGCAGCUGCGCAAGCUGCUGGGCCGCAUGUACACCAAGGGCAAGGGAGCCAAGCGGAUCUUGAAGGCCUGCAAGAAAGAGAAGGGCUCUUCGGCCGCUGCCACCCAGAAAGGCAGAUGCAAGUGGGUGUACUGGCUGCCUGCGUCAAGUGGGGAGCAGCGUGAGCGCAAGGUCUGCAAGGCGGCCUUCAUGGCCGUGCAUGGCAUCACCGAGAAGAGGACACGCGACGUCCAGUUGCUGUGGAUGAGACUGAGGGCCAAGCGUGGACGCACCCCCACUGGUGACGAGUCUGACAUCGAGCAAGAGGAGUUGAUGCCCGGCACUUACACAGACAUCGACGACGAGGAUGAGGAAUUGUCCGAGAAGCCAGCACUAAAGCGUGCUUGCAAACCGCACAGGGGGCGCAAGGUUCUCAGGGUACCUGAAAGCGACGACAGCAAAACGACAGACAAUAAUGUUACCUCCAGUGUGGAGAGCAAAGUCAGUGAUGUACAUAUGCCAGAGAAUGGUUCAAAGAAGACCGUGAAGUUGCAGUCGUUACAUGCCCCCGAAAAGAGCACUGUACCUAGUCAAGAUGGGGAUGAAAUGGAAGGAUAUAACAAAGCAGAUGAUGAUGACGAUGAUGUGCCUUACCUUGAUAUGACUGGAUUUGAACCAAUAUGUGCACUGGAAGAGGACAGCGAAAACCUGGUCCUUUCUCUACCGCGGGGUGUCUUUGGGGAGGACGAAGAAGUUACAGGAGCAACUUGAAAGGUGUUUCUUUUUUUUUCUUGCCCAUGGAUUCAUCAACUUUCUACAAAAGGUCUGGUGCUGUCGUGGAACAUGACUUUCAACUCGCUUUAUGCCGAGAUUCAGACGUACCAGCUGUACGCUUACCAGGAAACGGACAGCCCUCCCGCUACAUCCCACUGGAAGAAAGUUGGUGAUGUGCGAGCAUUGCCCCUGCCAAUGGCUUGCACACUGACUCAGUUCAUCGAAGGACACAAGUACCACUUUGCUGUGCGGGCUGUCGACGUUCACAACAGGCUCGGCGCAUUCAGUGAUCCAUCCAGCAUCCUACUGUAGUGAGGAUGACUCAUCGAAAUUCGUGGCUUAGUGCAAGAGACCAUCUCUCUUCACGGAAACCUGGUGCGAUUUGUGUAGCACAUCUUUCAUUCAUCUGACCUGGACAAAGUUGAGUGAUAUUGUGAAUGACUACGAUGUUUGUCUGCUAGUGAGAGCUCUUCAAAUGUCUGCGAGUGUUACGCCUCAUGUUUUUAAAAGCACUGCGUUUUAAAAGCAGGCUUCAUUUGCUGUGGAAAAGCACCCCCUUUAGGAACAUUGUGUCCUAUGUCUCGACGAGUCAAACUGGGUGUCUUCAUGCAUUUCUAAGAAUGGCUCAGUGCCAGUCAUGAUAGAAUGCAGGUUCGUAGCAUUGCUCAUCAUUCAUCCACACCCUGUCUUUAAUGCGUGCAAAACUGUCUCUGGUGCAAAGAUGUAGCCUUGAUGCCUUGAAUAGAGUGCCAUCAUGCUAGAUGAGAGACUUGUGUAUUUCAGACCUUGCUCACAGUCAACGUCACUACCUUCAUUCAAAUGCAGUCGUUUUUUAGGCUCAAGUUCCUCCGUAGACUUGAGUUUGACAAAAUUGGCUAGCUAGGAGGUAAGGCACCCUAAUGUGUGAAUGUGGAAGUGGUGAUACAUUCAAAGACCCACUUUUGAGGCCAAUCUUUUCAAACUAAAUGGCACAUUUCAGCAUUAAAAACAAAUUUAAAUUUUGUUUGGAGUAACAGCAGGCCAUAUAAAAUGCCGCACUUUCGUAUGUUGGGAGCUGUGCUGGUAACAGUAUUUUCCUCAUGUCAGCAAGGGAAAGCCCGACUAGUCGAGUGCACAAAGGUACUCUAUACCUAUUUGGGCAGUGUGGUCUACAUAGUACCUGCCGUGUAUUGUGUGUUUGAUGUGCAGGUCGCACAUAAAUUUGCCUAGGUGCAUCGUUAUCUACUGGAUCAUAUUUCUUGCGUUUUCAUAGCACUUUUAGCCUCAGGGAGAGGUCCUUUUUCUUUUGUAGUUUCUCCUCAAGGGGAGGGUGUUUAAGAUUGUUUUGUGAAAGAUGUACAGAAAUUGUGCAUUGUAAUCAAAGCUUUGUCUUGUUCUAUUGAUUUAACCCAGAGUCAUUUUGAAUUUUCCAGUCUCGAAGUGUUCUUUUAAGUAUUUCAGAAAUAUUUUGUGCAUAAAUUAUAAUACUGCAGAGGCUGUUAGUUUUUUCACUGCCCAUUGUUGAAUUAAAACGUGAAUAAAAUGUUUUUGACAUCAAAUUUUAAAA